UGAUAUUGAUAUUUUAUUUGUAUUACACUCAUACACAAGUGUUUCACGCACAUGUAAGUACACACAACCAGUACAUUGAAACUGCAAACGGCUCAUUAAAUCAGUUAUGGUUCCUUUGAGCGCUCCAUCUGUUACUUGGAUAACUGUGGUAAUUCUAGAGAUAAUACAUUCCGAUGAGUGCUGACCUCCCAGUAUACAUGCAUUUAUUAGACCAAGACUAACCCAGGCUUGCCUUGCUUCUUUGAUGACUCUAGACAACCUCUGGCCAAUCGUACGUCCCUGUAACAGUGACGAUGCAUUCAAAUGUUGCCCUAUUCAUUUGUUAUGGCACUUUCUGUGCCUACCAUGGUGACCACGGAGAAAUCUAUUAUGGAGAAGGAGCCUGAGAAAUGGAUUGCACAUCCAACGAAGCAGCAGUCGCACAAAUUACCCACUCUCGAGUCAUAGUGGUAAUCACAAACAUAACAAUACAGCCGUGUAAUUGGAAUGAAUAAACUUUACAUCCUUUAAAUCCUUUAACAAGGAUCCAUUGGAGGGUGAGUCUGAUAUCAGCAACUGCAGUAAUAUUCCAGCUCCAAUAGCGUAUAUUAAAGUUGCUGCAGUUAAAAAGCUUGCAGUUGGAUCUUGCGAUCGAGCUUGCGGUCUGCUGCAAGGCGAGCUACUGCCUGUCCAGCCCCGCCUCUCGGUGCCACUUCUGCAGGGGUCCAAAACGUUUGCUUUGAAAAAUGAGAGUUUUCAAAGCAGGCAGGUUGCCAUAACAGUUUAGCUAAGAAAAAUGGAAUAGGACUCCAGUUAUAUUUUGCUGGUUUUCACACCUAGGGCCAUGAUUAAGAGGGCCAGCUGGGGCAUUCGUAUUGUGCCGCUAGAGGUAAAAUUCUUGGACUGGCACAAGACGAACCAAAGUGAAAGUAUUGCCAAGAAUGUUUUCAUUACACAAGAAUGAAAGUCGGAGGUUCGAUGAUACUGUUGUAGUUCUGAUGAUAAACAAUGCCGACUAGUGAUCUGGCUGCGUUAUUUCCAUGACCUGUCAAGUAGCUUCCAGGAAACCAAAGUCUUUGGGUUCCGGGGGAGUAUGGUUGCAAAGCUGAAACGUAAAGGAAUUGACAGGAGGGCACCACUGGAGUGGAGCCGGUGUCUUACUUUGACUUAACUCAGGAACCCCCCAUGCCAUACACAGAAAGGAUUGACAACUUGAUAGCUCCUCCUCAAUACUGUGGGUGGUGGUGCAUUGCCAUUCUUAGUUAGUGGAGGGUUUGUCUGGUUAAUUACGAUAACAAGCAAGACUCCUCCAUGCUAACUAGUUACACGAACCCCAGCGGUCUGCAUUCAACUUCUGAGAGGGACAAGUAGCGUUCAGCCACACGAAAUUGAGCCAUAACAGGUCUGUGAUGCCCUUAGAUGUCUGGGCUGCAUGUGAACUACACUGACCAGCAUGUAUCUAUCCUUCGCCAACAUGUGCUGCUUACCCGCAGGACCCUGUACAUGAUAGGAAGUGAGCAUUGCAAUCAAUUUGCAUGAACGAGGAAUUUAGUGUGGGUCAUAAGCUUGCAUUGAUUAAGUCCCAUCCCUGUGUGCACACUGCUUGUUGCUUCUACUGAUUGUAUGGUUUAGUGAGGAAUUCGGGUUGACUCCGCUGGCAUUGGCAAUGGCCCUGGUGGAGCGCCAAGAGGACGAUCAACCUUGAUUUUAUAGAGGAAGUAAAGUGAUAACAAGGUUUGCGCAUCAAUCAAUCUGAAAC
rnacentral:rRNA from 1 species